rnacentral:lncRNA from 1 species
UGGAAUAUCAACCAAUUAACAUUGAUAAAGGGUGUGACGAGAACCUAUACAGAAGCUUGAUUUUUAUUUAAGCUUGAUUUUUCUAAGUUACUGUUGUGUCUUUUCCAUUUUAUUACUAAAUCUCUGACAUGAUAUAAGGCUCUGGUAUCAGGACAAAAUAGUGUCCUCCUUUGGGAGUUGUGGUUAACAUUUAUAGGCAUUGCAGUAUUCGUUUAAUAAGCAUAGGUUUUGACAUCAGAUUUAGUCUCUGUUUGGACUCUACCAGUGAGUUGGCUGCAGGAAGAAGCAGUUUUGAACCUCGAUUUUUCUCAUCUACAAAAUAGGUAUGGUGGUGCUUCAUUAAUACAGUACUUGUCAUAUUAAGAAUUCAAUAAAUAAUUAUUAUUACUGCAGUUGUGUUUAGAUAUUCAAUAAAUGGUACUAUAAUGUUUAAGUAUACUUUGUUUUAAGGAAAGAUGAUGCCAACUUUUUGGUUAAAUAUACAUGGUUUGAAUCUUUGAAAUCACAGUAAUUUACUGGUAAAGAGUUUCGAAGACCAACUUCUGGAGCUGUGUUACUUUUGGUAAGUUAUUUUCCUGUGCCUCGGUUUCCUCAAUCUGCUAAAUUAUAGUUAUGACAGUACCUGAUAGGAUUAUUGGGACUAAGUGAGUUAAUACCAUUAAUGUGGUCAGUAUGAUUCCUUGUACACACACAGCUUUUGACAAAUGGUACCCAUUGUUGUUAUUUUAAAAGCAUAUUUAUCACCCAUUUUUCCAGAGUGAGUUGUGCCAAAUAUUUCUAAACAAUUUUUAAAGAUAAGCUAAUACCCCAUAAUUAUAGAUAUGUAUUGUUUGAGCAAAAUGAUACUUCCAUAUUUGUGCCUUUAUUAGAAAUACUCAGAAUUAAUUUCAUACAGUUUUGUUUUCCAAUUCCAUGAAAUCAGCCUUUUCCAAUUCUGGUGACAUAUCCACAUUCUUUGUAGGUAGAAAGCAAAACAACAGCUGCAAAACCAGAAUUAUGUUAAGAGCUUACAUUACUCCAGCAGCCUGACAGGUGUCUUAAGUUCUUGCCAGUGCCUACCUCCAGAAUUAGAAUUCGCAUUUUGUGCUGCUUCUAUGGAGGAUGUCUACUUACUAUAAGAAAAAUAAUUAAAUAAAAAUGUGAAAUGAAGGCAUGGGACUUGUUUCUGAAGGUGAGUGCUGUUUUUAUUUGUUUAAUAAACAUUGCUUGCUAUGAAUAGGGAGCUAUCUUGUUAUGUACUUGGAUGCAAAAUAUACCACAUUUGAGUGAGUUCCACAUGUUUAUUGGAAUUUGUCAAAUGCUUACAUUAUUUUAUAAUUUACAUAGUACUUUAAGAAAUACUAUAAUCCAUCAUGGAAGGAUAUAAUUUAAAAAUAGUUCUAUAAAAUAUCUUUUACAAACUAAGCAUAUUUGGGAAGUCUCCAACAAUUCACAUUUGAACAUCUCAGGGAAAAAAUUAAUAUACACGUGGUUUAGGCUCUGCCAGAUGGCCUGUAGGUUAAAUUCCAAAUUCUGCUGUUUAAUUAGGUGUUCUUUAUUCUGUUCCUUGAUAGUCAUAAGUUUAUAUCUUUACCUUAUGUAUUUUCCUUAUUAUGUAAAAGGGUCUUUGAUCAUGUGGGCUAGACUCUACAUGAAGCAUUGCACUUGUUUGAAUGAAUACGAUGAAGGGUUUUAGUUGGAGUGAGACAACUCCUGCCCUUAUAGGAAAAUGCUUACUUGAUUUUGUUUUAUUAUAUAUUUAUUAGAAUUGUAAAAAGAAAUUUUCUUCUGAUGAACAUGUGCUUGUUAGUUUUAAAUAUUAUAGAUUCUGAGCAAAUGUUGAAAUUUUGCUUCUAUUUCCCCCCUUGUUUACCAUACUGCUUUUUGUUAUUUAAUUAUGUUGAUAGAGAACAUAAUAUAAAUUGAAUUCCUUUGAUAAUUUUAGGAUGUUUUGGAAUUGAACUAUUUUCUGUCAAGUUUGAACAUUCGAUUUAUUUUAUUUCUCCCAUUUUAUUGUAUUUUUCUAAUCAUUUUCUCCCAUUUUAUUGUAUUUUUUCUGAAUGUCUCCUACAGACUUCAGUAAUUGUCAUUUAAGAUGUGGGGAAUCUGUGAUUAAUAGAGUUUAUCUUUUGGUUAUACUUACUUCAGUGUUUUUGUUUGUUUUUGUACCAUGGGUUGAACUCAGGCUUUCGACCACUGAGCCACAUCCCUAGCCCUAUUUUGAAUUCUGUUUGGAGACAGGGUCUCACUGAGUUGCGUAACACCUCGCUUUUGCUGAGGCUGGCUUUGAACUGGUGAUCCUCUUGCCUCAGCCUCCCUCCUGAGCUGCUGGGAUUACAGCCAUGGGCCAUCACACCUGGCUACUUCAUUGUUUUUAAAAAUAUUUUUUUAAUAAAUGUCAAAGUGUUAAGUGUGAAAUAUUAUGCAAAAUUAUAGUUAGUAGCUAAGUAACUUCUCUUCAUUACUUAUCACUUAAUAUUGAAGAUUUUUAAAAACUAGAAAUAUUCUUUUUUCAAAUUGUAGUGUUAGAAUGAAGGGUGUUUUUAUUUUUUAACUUUUAAUUCUUUAUAUAGCUCCCAGUACAUGAUGAAACCAACAGCAGAAUUUUUGUAUGUAUGUAAAUCAGUAUUACUUUUUUAUAUUAGCCUUAACUUCCUUUAGUUUACAGAAAAGAACUAGUCCCAAGGGUAUGUUUUACAAUUUGAUACACAUUAUUCCUGUGAGGCUAAGUAACACUAUUCCAUGAACACAAGUCUUGGCAGUGCCCUUCAACUGCUUUCUUGUCUGGGGACUGCCUGGGUUCAGUUAUAGCUGGCUUAAGACUUGUGACCUUUUACUAAUUUCAAAGUGAUUUUUAAGGUCUGUUAAGUUAUAGCCAAUAUAUGUCUUUCUGUCUGUCUAAAAACAGGAUUUGGGCUGUUUUGCUUUGAUUUUCUGAAGUAACUUAAGAAAGUUUUUUUUGCCACUUGUUCUCCAUAUAAAUUUUGCAACUCAGAUUCCCUGGAAGAUUAAAAAAAAAAAAAAAAGUACUUUUGUGAGGGUUUUUUUUUUUUUUUGCUUUGUUUUUUAACGUAUUAAAGGUGCCUAAAUGUAUACAGUUACCUUUUCUAUGUAGCCUAACCAUUUUGACAUUAUGAAAUGCUUUUCUCCCCCUGUAGAUUAUCCAUGAAUUGUUUUGUUUUGGAUGUCUUUAUAUUUAAUAAUCACUUGCUUAAAAAUACCCACUGUGUGUAGUCAGUAGCACACACAGAAAAACCUCUUGUUUGCAGUUUAUAGCAUAGUCAUUAUUAACCAAAAUACUAAUUUGCUUUUGGGUAGACAUAUGAGUAUGAAUGAGAGUUUGGGAACCAGGUAUUGUUAAUCCUUCUCUUUCAAAUAACUUUCUAAAUAUUUGUUCUGUAAUUUAAAUUUGUUAAUGUUAUAAAUUCUGUCAGUGUCUUUGUAUUAAAUGUAGUGACCAAACUAUGUCUCUAAACCUGAUAUAAUUUUAUAUAUCAGAACAUGGAUAAUAAAAGAACAGUGAACAUGCAAACACAGAAAUUAAUAUCAGAGUAAUAUAAGACAGCAAGUGAAGUUAAUACAUGCUUGCAUUCCAUAUAUAUUUAUUAAUGAUGUAUAUUUAUGCUUCAUAAUAAAUUUGACCCAAGGUAGAUGCAGUUGUCAAGAAUGACUGAUAACUAUUCAUGUAUAUGGCCAAACUGAAUUUUAAAUGUUUUCUUAUGUUUUUCUUUCAUCUCUAGUACCCAUCACAAGUGACUCAAGUGAUGCAUGUUAAAAGCAAAAAAAAAGUGCUUUUUUCCUAUUCUCACACAACACUCAACAUGCUUCUAUCCCCAAAUGUAUGUGAGGAUUUCUCCCCACCUGCAAUCAAGGAGGGUUUUUUUUGCACAUUUUCUGUUGGACAUCAGCUAGGUAUCCUUUAAUUAAGAUACUGCAUACCUGGACAUAAUGCCAGAUCUCACAGGUUGGAGGGUAAGUCCUACACACUGUCUCCCCAUUCAAAUGCCACUUAGCAAGCAUAGUUUGUGGCCUGUGCCUCUGAAGUACUGGCUAUAAACCUGGGUUCCCACUAUUCCUUCUCAGAUGUGAUUAAUUUGCUAGAAUGGCUCAAGAAAUGAGGAAAAGGCUUUAUUCAUAUUUACCAAUUUAUUAUAAAGGAUAUUACAAAGACACAUGGAAGAGAUGCACAUGGCAAAAUAAUGGAAAGUACAAGUGGAGUGAAAUCCUGCUUACUCUGGAUUUGCACCCUCCAGAAACUGCAUGAUCAGCUAUGUAGAAGUGCAUUUGAACCCUUUCUCAUGAAAGCUUCAUUACAUAGGGCAGUCCUGGGAAUUGGUGAGUGGGGCACAGAGUUUUGACUUUAUUCUGAAGCUGUCUGUGGCCCUAGCCACCAGUCAUCUCAUUGGCUACUGCAGACAUUCAUCACUAUCCAGAGAUUACAAAGUUCUAGAAGCUCUGUGUCAGCAAACAGGAAUGAAGACCAAAUAUAAUUUCACAGUUAUCACAAACAUGUCCUUGAGAAUUAGACUGCCAAUCUAAUCUGUGCUCCAUCACUUAACAUUGGUGUGACCUUAAGUAAAUUGCUGAACUUCUUUGGAUAGUUCUUUGUAAAAUAAACAACCAACAUCAGGUUGUAGGGUUGAGAGAGAGAGAGAGGGUUGUAGGGUUGUGAAGGACCCAGCACAGUUAAGGUGUUCAGUGGAUACUAUUUCUUUUGCUUUUAGGCUCAAAUGAGCUCCCUCAGUGUCCAUUCCCAACCAUGAUGUUUAUCUUAAAUCAGUAUUAAAGUCAUCCACCUUGAACCUUUAGGGUACAUUAUAAGAUUGGUAGUUUUUAUUAUGACCCCAAGUCAAACCAUUUUCCCACAAAUAAUCAAGCCUUUAGCCUCAUAUUGAACAAAAUUGUAUGAAAUGUCAAAUUUUUAUUAUGGUUUGCAUAUGAGCUGUGUCCCCCCACUCCAUGUUAAUGCAGGAAUAAUCAGAAGAAAAAUGAUUACAUUGUGAAAGAUGAAACCUAUGUAACAACCUAUGGCUGUUUCAGUCCAUCUUGUUUGAAUGGAGUAACUGGACAUGUGGGCACAGCAGGAGGUGGGUUACUGGGGCUGCCCUGGAAGGGUGUAUCUUCCCUGCAGCCCCUCUACCCACUGCUUCCUGGCUGCCAUGAGCAAAGCAGCAACCCUUCACUGCACCCUGGGUCGUGAUGUGCUGCCUUAUGUCAUGUGCUUCAGAAGAGUGGAGUGACCCUCUGUGAACUGAGACCUUGGAAACCAUAAGCCCCAAAUAAAAUUUCCCUCUAAGUUGUUUUUGUCAGGUAUUUUAGUCACAGUGAUGCAAAGCUGAAUAACAGUCUUGUAUAGUUUAAAAAAAAAUAGUCAUAGUCAGCUCAGACAAGGCAGGUAGAAGACUUCCUAGGACUGACAUACCAAAAGACUGUAAUCAGAGUGCCUAUUAGAAACCUCAGUGCGGGCCAGGCCGUAUUGGAUGUUGGAAUCGUCAGGACAGUAGAUUACAAAGUAUGAAGGGUGAGAGAUGAUACUCUGAGUAGACUAGAACAGAAUACAUUAGAAAGUCUUUUUCCAAAAUUGUGUUGGAUAUCCUAGGAUUUGAUUCAUGCCUUGUGUUUAUUUCUGCAUGUAAUAGGUUGAGUAUGGAAGAAGCAAUAUGCAUAAAAGUUGGCAAACUUGUUUGCUCAUUUUCCAACCUUUCCAGAUCAUUGCUUAUAAAACACUGGUAUUUACAGUAAAUAUAUUGUUUUAAAUAUUUGCUAACCCUACUAAAUUGUGUUUCCCUAUGCAAUAGUCACUUAAUGACUUCAUCCUCCAGUAAGUUGGUAUGUUAUUUGAAAUUGCUUUUAGAGCUUAGGGGUUGUUUCAGAGAGUUAAAGGCAAAAGCGGGAAGAGAAUAGCAUUUUCAGGACAAAGUGAUCCAGCAGACCCUUGAUAAAAUAUGAGAUGUGUCUGUCUUUACUACACAACCGUUGACUAAAGCACUCUGACCUCAUGUCCUUGUAUGUAAAUGAAAAAUGUAUAGUCUUGUAACUUCCUUUUUCUAGGUAAAUCCAUCCAAUUAUUUAUUUUAUGUUUAUUUGUAUGUGUCCGUAUUUGCAUGAGCACACUAUUAAGCAGAAGAAGUUCUGGGUUUAGCUGCCUGGGCCCAUUAGAUAAUUCAGAUAAGUCACUUAGCACACUACCUGGCACAUAAGAAGCACUCAGGAAAUAUCCCACUCAGUUUAAAUCUCCAGUCUUAAUAGUACCUUGAUGUUGGCCUUCCUAAGUAAAGUUGAUCUUCUCUUUGUGACACAAAUGUGUCUAGUAUUUACUAAUCAUAAAUUGUUCUCACUAGUGCUAAAUUUAUUACUAAUUUAUCUGCAUGUCUACUUCCCUUCUCAGAUUAUGAGCCCCUUGAGAACAAAAAUGGGUUUGUUUCUUUUUCAUAAGUUCAUUGUCUAGCAUGGUGAAAUUUUACUAUUUUAAAAUGUGUUCCUUUUCCCUUCUCAGGGGAAGAUAAUCCUUGAGCAAAAGUGACAAAUAGGAAUGUUACCAAAAAAAUCUGGCCAUGUUCUCAAAUCACUAUUCCCCCACUUGCCUCUUCACACUUUUUUUUUAAUAUAAGAAAAGAAAGUAAUAAAAUGACUGCCAAAUUAAGAUAAACUGUCUACUAAACAUGAGUUAAAAUGCUAUGAUCAGAAACUGAAUAAAGGCAACAUAACGACACUAUUAAAAAGUGGUGUUCUUGAAAUUAAAAGCCCCAGUUCACAUUAUAGCCCUGCUACUUUUUAGCCAUGACAACAAGAAAGCUCUGUUUUCUCUUUGACUCUAUAAAGUAGGGUUUAUCACUAUUUGAUGGUUAGUGGUUAAUAUGAGAUAAUAUUCUUACAAUGCUAGCACUGUGCCUGGUAAAUAGAGACUGCUCAAAUAUUUUCUGAAGAGAGUUAGCUUCAGCUAGUAUUAUACUCUAUACAUUUGAGAAAAAUCCAGUUUAUUUCACCAGGUACCAUAAAUUACUGCUUGAAGUAUUGUUCAAAUUAGUUGAUACUCUGACUUUAUCUUGAAAAACAAAACUUAAAAAGUGACCAAGUCAUUUUAGUUCCAUCAUGUUAAUGUUGUGGGGAAGAGUAAUGAAGAUCAAAUGGCAAAAACGUACUGACAAUUCAGUUGUGUGAUUAUUUUCUGGACACACAAAGGUAGACCUUUACUUCAUACUACUCUCCUAAAGUGAAAGCAGUGAGAACUCAAGUCAUGCAUGGGAAAAUUGACCACCAUUGAACUAUCACUGCCAUUAUGUAAGAGUUUUGUCCAAACUCUCAUGAUGGAAAGCAACUCUUAAAAUCCCCUCCUCAUUUCUUCUCUCCUUAUUACUGCUGAAUAAACAUUUUCUUUCAACCUUGUUUUGUGUUUUGCUUAUUUGAUAUGCUUUUCAAAGUCUAACAGUUAGUGAUUCAAUUAGGCUAUAGGGUAGCAGAAACCCCAAAACAGAGGCUUAAGCAAGACAGGUUUGUUUUUUAAACUCUUACAUGGAGUUCCAAAGGUGGUUUUUAACAUUGCCACCAUUACAUCCUUAAUAAAGACUGCAGGAAGUGGUAGGGAUUAAGCCAGAAGUCUUGUCUGCGUCACAAAGUUCAGAAACUUCCAGCUUGUCUCCUUUGCCACAGUUUUAUCCUGUGGCUGUUCAUGAGCUGCAGCAGAGGCCAAGAAACAAAGUUCUUUUGCUGGGCACAUUAUCACUCAGAACAAAAUCAAAGUUUGGCUUGGGUCACUAUAACAAACUUCUUUAAGGAUUCAGGUAGCUCUGUGUCACAGAUUAGGAGAUUUCCUAUAAGGCUGAAGAACUUCAUGGGAUAUGUCUGGAGAUUGUGAAGCUAAUAGCUAGGAAUCUUG